rnacentral:lncRNA from 1 species
AGCUGCUCGGUUAGAAAGUGCCGACCAAAGACAGCGCCGAGGCGCUCUGCUAGAAGGUGCUCGCCUAAAGGGCGCCGACCAGGAGUACUCAAAGCAGCCCCGCCACAGGGCGCCCCAUUGGGCGACCAGCUCGGCUCGGCACCCUUGCCGAGCCGAUGCCCUAACCAAACGUUCAACCUCCGCCUAAAGUCCAAGGGACUUGACAGCUCCUACGGCUUGCGACCUGCCACUAUCUCCAAGCCAUCAAGGCAUAAGAUCUCCGCAGGCAUUCGGCACGACCUGCCAUUAAUGCA